UACGUAGGGUGCAAGCGUUGUCCGGAAUUAUUGGGCGUAAAGAGCGUGUAGGCGGCCCGAUUAGUCCGCUGUGAAAGUCCAGGGCUCAACCCUGGAAUGCCGGUGGAUACUGUCGGGCUAGAGUCCGGAAGGGGCGAGUGGAAUUCCUGGUGUAGCGGUGAAAUGCGCAGAUAUCAGGAGGAACACCAAUGGCGAAGGCAGCUCGCUGGGACGUGACUGACGCUGAGACGCUAAAGCGUGGGGAGCAAACAGG
rnacentral:rRNA from 1 species